ensembl:lncRNA CAMSAP1-DT CAMSAP1 divergent transcript
GCCCUGGUCCGCGCCUGCCCCGUUGCUUUCCUCAGGCUCUAAGGCCCGCGGUGUGGAGCGCGGCGUCUGUUGAGAUUGUCUAUUUUUUCUUGAGUCAGCCGUCUGAAAAGAACACGAGGUGGACAGGGCAGAGCGGUCAAGGAAAGCCAUAGGAGGAGGGCACUUAUUUGAGCAAAGACCGGCGGGACGUGGGCGUCGAGGACAUCCUGAGGUUCCCACCAAGUGGACAUUGGCUUAUUCUACAAGCAACAGGAUGAGGCCCCUGGACUCCUCACUAGCAAAAUAGUGCAGUGACAGCAACACCCCCCCCC